rnacentral:misc_RNA from 1 species
GAUGAAGAACGCAGCGAAAUGCGAUAAGUAGUGUGAAUUGCAGAAUUCAGUGAAUCAUCGAAUCUUUGAACGCACAUUGCGCCCUUUGGUAUUCCAAAGGGCAUGCCUGUUCGAGCGUCAUUUGUACCUUCAAGCUUUGCUUGGUGUUGGGCGUUUUUUGUCUCCCUCUUUCUGGGAGACUCGCCUUAAAACGAUUGGCAGCCGGCCUACUGGUUUCGGAGCGCAGCACAUAUUUUGCGCUUUGUAUCAGGAGAAAAGGACGGUAAUCCAUCAAGACUCUACAUUUUUAACUUUUGACCUCGGAUCAGGUAGGGAUACCCGCUGAACUUAAGCAUAUCAAUAAGCGGAGGA